CCAAAUGAUUUAUCGCCAUAGGAUGGGACUGCGGCCUAUCAGUUUGUUGGUGAGGUAAUGGCCCACCAAGACUAUUACAGGUACGGGCUCUGAGAGGAGUAGCCCGGAGAUGGGUACUGAGACACGGACCCAGGCCCUAUGGGGCGCAGCAGGCGAGAAAACUUUGCAAUGUGCGAAAGCACGACAAGGUUAAUCCGAGUGAUUUGUGCUAAACGAAUCUUUUGUUAGUCCUAGAAACACUAACGAAUAAGGGGUGGGCAAGUUCUGGUGUCAGCCGCCGCGGUAAAACCAGCACCUCAAGUGGUCAGGAUGAUUAUUGGGCCUAAAGCAUCCGUAGCCGGCUCUGUAAGUUUUCGGUUAAAUCUGUACGCUUAACGCACAGGCAGCCGGGAAUACUGCAGAGCUAGGGAGUGGGAGAGGUAGACGGUACUCGGUAGGAAGUGGUAAAAUGCUUUGAUCUAUCGAUGACCACCUGUGGCGAAGGCGGUCUACCAGAACACGUCCGACGGUGAGGGAUGAAAGCUGGGGGAGCAAACCGGAUUAGAUACCCGGGUAGUCCCAGCUGUAAACUAUGCAAACUCAGUGAUGCAUUGGCUUGUGGCCAAUGCAGUGCUGCAGGGAAGCCGUUAAGUUUGCCGCCUGGGAAGUACGUACGCAAGUAUGAAACUUAAAGGAAUUGGCGGGGGAGCACCACAAGGGGUGAAGCCUGCGGUUCAAUUGGAGUCAACGCCGGA
rnacentral:rRNA from 1 species